GCCAAGGGAACGGGCUUGGUAGAAUCAGCGGGGAAAGAAGACCCUGUUGAGCUUGACUCUAGUCCGACUUUGUGAAGACACAUGAAGGGUGUAGCAUAGGUGGGAGCGAAGCGCAAUUGAAAUACCACUACUUUUAUCGUUUCUUUACUUAUUCAGUGAAGCGGAGAGCGGGGCGCAAGCCCCUCGCUUCUGGAGUUAAGCGGCUUAGGCGCUCGUCGCCGGCCGCGUCCGCUCUGAAGACAGUGUCAGGCGGGGAGUUUGACUGGGGCGGUACAUCUGUCAAAAGGUAACGCAGGUGUCCUAAGGCGAGCUCAGCGAGGACGGAAACCUCGCGUAGAGCAAAAGGGCAAAAGCUCGCUUGAUUUUGAUUUUCAGUACGAAUACAGACCGUGAAAGCGUGGCCUAUCGAUCCUUUUGACUUUAAGAGUUUAAGCAAGAGGUGUC
rnacentral:rRNA from 1 species